rnacentral:rRNA from 1 species
GUUGAAACACCAGUUCCCGUACGAUCAUCGAAGUUAAGCAACGUCGAGCCUGAUCAGUACCUAGAUGGGUGACCGCUUGGGGAAUACCAGGUACAGU